rnacentral:rRNA from 1 species
GACGAACCGUGCGAACGUUAUUCGGAAUCACUGGGCUUAAAGGGUGCGUAGGCUGGUUGCCAAGUCUGUGGUGAAAUCCUCCGGCUUAACCGGAGAACUGCCGUGGAUACUGGCGACCUCGAGGGGGGUAGGGGCUUGCGGAACUGUGCGUGGAGCGGUGAAAUGCGUUGAUAUGCACAGGAACUCCGGUGGCGAAGGCGGCGAGCUGGACCAUUUCUGACGCUGAGGCACGAAAGCCAGGGGAGCGAACGGG